GGUUUGACCCGAUUAGGUUAAGAGUUGACCUAAUCGUCGAGAUGGUUUGAUCCCUGAUUUGAUCAGGGAUUGGGCUUAAUCAAUUCCUGAUUUGAUUAGGAUUUUAUUGAGCCUAAUUAAGCCUAAUUUAGUUGGAUUUAAAUUAGUCUAAUUGGGCCUAACUUAUUUGGUUCAAUUAGAUUGGUUUAAAUAAUGAAACCACCUUGACCCAUUCUCCGUGCACCACCUCACUUCCACUGCGUCCUUUUUGAAUUCACGAGAAGGAAGUUCUCAUGAAUUUUUCCUCACGCCCUACUUUAAUGCGUCAUAUAAGUGGAUAAGGAUGAUUGGUUGGCCAUUCAAAUUCGAAACAAAGUUUGAAUUUGAAUGAGCAACCAAUCUUAGCGCCUUGACCUUAUCCUCUUUUAACGCCCCAUUUAUUACACGAGAAAAUAUUUCUCAUGAAAUCACUCACGCACAAAUUAAGCCACGCUCUCCUCUUCUCACGCCCUUAGUGGAUAGGAAUAAAUUGAUUUCCAUUUGAAUUCAAAAUUUGAUUUGAAUUCAAAUGUGCAAUUACUCAUCUUUAUCCUCUCACGUGGAUAAGACGUUUGACAUUGUUUUAAAAGGAGGAGAAGAGUAGGGCGUGUGCAAAAAAAAAUUUUGGAAAGAAAAUCUGGGUGUGAGGAAUCUUUGUGCGUGAGGUGAAGGUCUAUAUCCUUCCGAGAGAAAAAGAAAGAAAAGAAAGAAAAAGUGUGCGCAGGGUUUCAGUGAGUUCUUCAGGGUUUCAGCCUGGAGUUCGGGAAGUGAGAAGGCGAGCUACGAGUGUCGUGAGCCCACCAAAUUUCAGGAAGAUCUUCAACAUCCUCUCAAGCAUGUCUGCUGACGAUCCGAAGCAUUCGAAUAAUCGACAGACAUCGAUCGAAGUUCGAUCAGCAUCGACCGUCGAAAGGAUUCUACAACGAGCUAGCACUCGUGAGGAGUAGAUCAGACCGAAAGCUUCGUGUGGACGAUCCAUAAAGAUCAGACACGCUGUGGCUGUAUCGCAAUGAUCAGACUCUCCCGACGGUGAUCAGAUUGCAGCGAUCUACUAUCCGCACAAAGGUAUU
rnacentral:lncRNA from 1 species